rnacentral:rRNA from 1 species
UACGGGGGGGGGCAAGCGUUGUUCGGAAUUACUGGGCGUAAAGGGCGCGUAGGCGGCCGAUCAAGUCGGAGGUGAAAUCCCUCGGCUCAACUGAGGAAUUGCCUUCGAUACUGUUCGGCUUGAGUCCUGGAGAGGGUAGCGGAAUUCCCGGUGUAGCGGUGAAAUGCGUAGAGACCGGGAAGAACACCAGUGGCGAAGGCGGCUCACUGGUCCGGUUCUGACGCUGAGGCGCGAAAGCGUGGGGAGCAAACAGG